rnacentral:rRNA from 1 species
UAGGGAAUCUUCGGCAAUGGACGGAAGUCUGACCGAGCAACGCCGCGUGAGUGAAGAAGGUUUUCGGAUCGUAAAGCUCUGUUGUAAGAGAAGAACGAGUGUGAGAGUGGAAAGUUCACACUGUGACGGUAUCUUACCAGAAAGGGACGGCUAACUACGUGCCAGCAGCCGCGGUAAUACGUAGGUCCCGAGCGUUGUCCGGAUUUAUUGGGCGUAAAGCGAGCGCAGGCGGUUAGAUAAGUCUGAAGUUAAAGGCUGUGGCUUAACCAUAGUACGCUUUGGAAACUGUUUAACUUGAGUGCAAGAGGGGAGAGUGGAAUUCCAUGUGUAGCGGUGAAAUGCGUAGAUAUAUGGAGGAACACCGGUGGCGAAAGCGGCUCUCUGGCUUGUAACUGACGCUGAGGCUCGAAAGCGUGGGGAGCAAACAGGAUUAGAUACCCUGGUAGUCCAUGCCGUAAACGAUGAGUGCUAAGUGUUGGGAGGUUUCCGCCUCUCAGUGCUGCAGCUAACGCACUAAGCACUCCGCCUGGGGAGUACGACCGCAAGGUUG